AACAUGCAAGUCGAACGCCCCGCAAGGGGAGUGGCAGACGGGUGAGUAACGCGUGGGAACAUACCCUUUCCUGCGGAAUAGCUCCGGGAAACUGGAAUUAAUACCGCAUACGCCCUACGGGGGAAAGAUUUAUCGGGGAAGGGUUGGCCCGCGUUGGAUUAGCUAGUUGGUGGGGUAAAGGCCUACCAAGGCGACGAUCCAUAGCUGGUCUGAGAGGAUGAUCAGCCACAUUGGGACUGAGACACGGCCCAAACUCCUACGGGAGGCAGCAGUGGGGAAUAUUGGACAAUGGGCGCAAGCCUGAUCCAGCCAUGCCGCGUGAGUGAUGAAGGCCUUAGGGUUGUAAAGCUCUUUCACCGGAGAAGAUAAUGACGGUAUCCGGAGAAGAAGCC
rnacentral:rRNA from 1 species